UACGGAGGGGGCUAGCGUUGUUCGGAAUUACUGGGCGUAAAGCGCACGUAGGCGGACCUACACGUCGGGGGUGAAAUCCCGGGGCUCAACCCCGGAACUGCCUCCGAAACUGUGGGUCUGGAGGUCGAGAGAGGCGAGUGGAAUUCCGAGUGUAGAGGUGAAAUUCGUAGAUAUUCGGAGGAACACCAGUGGCGAAGGCGGCUCGCUGGCGCGAUACUGACGCUGAGGUGCGAAAGCGUGGGGAGCAAACAGG
rnacentral:rRNA from 1 species